rnacentral:tRNA from 1 species
UUAGCUUAGUGUAGUUAUUCGCACGUUGGCUUUUCAAGCCAAAGGCGCUAAAACAAGUAGUUAACU